GACAGAGGGUGCAAACGUUGUUCGGAAUUACUGGGCGUAAAGCGUGUGUAGGCGGCCUUAUAAGUCGGAUGUGAAAGCCCCGGGCUCAACCCGGGAAGUGCACUCGAUACUGUGAGGCUCGAGUAUCGGAGAGGUUGGUGGAAUUCUCGGUGUAGAGGUGAAAUUCGUAGAUAUCGAGAGGAACACCGGUGGCGAAAGCGGCCAACUGGACGAAUACUGACGCUGAGACACGAAAGCGUGGGGAUCAAACAGG
rnacentral:rRNA from 1 species